GACGAACGCUGGCGGCGUGCUUAACACAUGCAAGUCGAACGGAAAGGCCCUGCUUGCAGGGUACUCGAGUGGCGAACGGGUGAGUAACACGUGGGUGAUCUGCCCUGCACUUCGGGAUAAGCCUGGGAAACUGGGUCUAUUACCGGAUCGGAGCCAUUUUUAGUGUGAUGGUUGGAAAGUUUUUUCGGUGUAGGAUGAGCUCGCGGCCUAUCAGCUUGUUGGUGGGGUAAUGGCCUACCAAGGCGGCGACGGGUAGCCGGCCUGGGAGGGGGGACGGCCACAUUGGGACUGAGAUGCGGCACAGACUCCUACGGGAGGCAGGGGUGGAGAAUAUUGCACAAUGGGCGGAAGCCUGAUGCAGCGACGCCGCGUGGGGGAUGACGGCCUUCGGGUUGUAAACUCCUUUCGCUAGGGACGAAGCUUUUGUGACGGUACCUAGAGAAGAAGCACCGGCUAACUACGUG
rnacentral:rRNA from 1 species